AUAGAAGCCUGUUUUAGUUGAGUAACUACGUGCAUGGCUUUUCUGCAACAUUUGCACAAAUGACUUCGCUUCCCGCGGUUAAAACAGAGAACUAAGGAAUCAUCCAAGUGUGAAGUAAUUACGUACGUCAAUAAUUAUUCUCCUCCGAGGAACAGUCAGCUUAAGUUUACGUGAAAGUAAAAGAGAAAUUCAAGAGAAAAUGUUGAAGGAAGCAACGUUUGGGGUGGCAGAUUACGUAGUCUCUGCUCUUGCUCUAUGCAUAUCUCUGAGCAUAGGGCUUUACUACGCAUGCUCUGGAGGACGUCAAGCUACUACAGCAGAAUAUCACCUUGGAAACCGAAAUUUAAAUUUUUUACCAGUUAUGUUUUCCUUGAUGGUGACGUCACAGUCGUCUAUUUUGAUCCUGGGGGUACCGGCAGAGACCUACCUCUAUGGUUUCCUGGCAACUAUAUCUGGAUUUGGAUUCUGGUUUGCCUACUGGUUAUGUGCUAGGAUAGUUAUUCCUAUUGUCCACCCAAUUAAAAUAACCAGCGUCAAUGAAUAUUUUAACCUGAGAUACAAAAACAACCGCGUCCGCUUUCUGACAACUGUUCUCUCCUUCAUAUUUUGGUUCAUUUAUCUCGGCAUAGUUACAUACGGCGUAUCUACAGCUAUAGAAUCAAUUUUGGGAGUGCCAGUUUGGCUGUGUGUGGUGAUUUUGUCAUUCUGUAGUAUGAUCUACACCGCAGUUGGAGGAAUAAAAGCCGUGAUAUGGACCGAUGUUAUACAGUACAGCAUCAUGCUAACAUCAGUACUGGCGAUACUUAUAAAGGGAUCGAUGAAAGUAGGAGGCGGAUCUGAGGUCAUUCGUAUAAACUCAGAAGGAAAGAGACUCGAUUUUUGGAAGUAACAAUUCUAAGAAACUAAUUUAUUUCUCUUGUGAUUAAUUCAUAUUUGUAAUUAAUGUUUUUAUUGUAAACUAUUUAAUUGAAUCGUAUCUGUCUGUUGCUAUUGCAUAUAAUCAUACGUUAAUUUGAAUAAAUAAUACAUAAUU
rnacentral:misc_RNA from 1 species